rnacentral:rRNA from 1 species
UACGUAGGGGGCUAGCGUUGUCCGGAAUCAUUGGGCGUAAAGCGCGUGUAGGCGGUCCGGUAAGUCCGCUGUGAAAGUCGGGGGCUCAACCCUCGAAUGCCGGUGGAUACUGUCGGGCUAGAGUGCGGAAGAGGCGAGUGGAAUUCCUGGUGUAGCGGUGAAAUGCGUAGAUAUCAAGAGGAACACCUGAGGUGAAGACGGGUUGCUGGGCUGACACUGACGCUGAGGCGCGAAAGCCAGGGGAGCAAACGGG